CCCUAGCCGCAAUAGUAACGGUUACCCCGCAGCAAGCAUUGGUGCUGAAAGCAUGCGGCUGCGCGAGGAGUAUGAGUGGAUAGCGCGAUAAAGC
rnacentral:misc_RNA from 1 species